rnacentral:rRNA from 1 species
AGAGUUUGAUCCUGGCUCAGGAUGAACGCUGGCGGCGUGCCUAACACAUGCAAGUCGAGCGAGAAAUAAAGAAAUGAAGCUUCGGUAGAUUUUCUUUAUGGAAAGCGGCGGACGGGUGAGUAACGCGUAGGCAACCUGCCCUGUACAGGGGGAUAGCCACCCGAAAAGGUGAUUAAUACCCCAUAACGCAAGAGAUACACAUGUAUCACUUGUCAAAGAUUUAUCGGUAUAGGAUGGGCCUGCGUCUGAUUAGCUAGUUGGUAAGGUAACGGCUUACCAAGGCAACGAUCAGUAGCCGACCUGAGAGGGUGAUCGGCCACAUUGGAACUGAGACACGGUCCAAACUCCUACGGGAGGCAGCAGUGGGGAAUAUUGCACAAUGGGCGCAAGCCUGAUGCAGCAACGCCGCGUGAAGGAUGAAGGCCUUCGGGUUGUAAACUUCUGUCCUAGGGGAAGAAACAAAUGACAUUACCCUUGGAGGAAGCCCCGGCUAACUACGUGCCAGCAGCCGCGGUAAUACGUAGGGGGCGAGCGUUAUCCGGAAUUAUUGGGCGUAAAGAGUGCGUAGGUGGCACCUUAAGCGCAGGGUUUAAGGCAAUGGCUCAACCAUUGUUCGCCUUGCGAACUGGGGUGCUUGAGUGCAGGAGGGGAAAGUGGAAUUCCUAGUGUAGCGGUGAAAUGCGUAGAUAUUAGGAGGAACACCAGUGGCGAAGGCGACUUUCUGGACUGUUACUGACACUGAGGCACGAAAGCGUGGGGAGCAAACAGGAUUAGAUACCCUGGUAGUCCACGCCGUAAAC